UACGGAGGGUGCAAGCGUUAUCCGGAUUUAUUGGGUUUAAAGGGUCCGUAGGCGGAUCAGUAAGUCAGUGGUGAAAUCUUAUAGCUUAACUAUAAAACUGCCGUUGAUACUGCUGGUCUUGAGUAAAUUUGAAGUAGCUGGAAUAAGUAGUGUAGCGGUGAAAUGCAUAGAUAUUACUUAGAACACCAAUUGCGAAGGCAGGUUACUAAGAUUUAACUGACGCUGAGGGACGAAAGCGUGGGGAGCGAACAGG
rnacentral:rRNA from 2 species